CAUUGGCUCAACCAANGUAUGCUUUGGAAACUGUUAGACUUGAGUGCAGAAGGGGAGAGUGGAAUUCCAUGUGUAGCGGUGAAAUGCGUAGAUAUAUGGAGGANCACCGGUGGCGAAAGCGGCUCUNUGGUCUGUCACUGACGCUGAGGCUCGAAAGCGUGGGUAGCGAACAGGAUUAGAUACCCUGGUAGUNCACGCCGUAAACGCUGAGUGCUAGGUGUUAGGUCCNUUCCGGGACUUAGUGCCGACGCUAACGCAUUAAGCACUCCGCCUGGGGAGUACGACCGCAAGGUUGAAACUCAAAGGAAUUGACGGGGGCCCGCACAAGCGGUGGAGCAUGUGGUUUAAUUCGAAGCAACGCGAAGAACCUUACCAGGUCUUGACAUCCCGAUGCCCGCUCUAGAGAUAGAGUUUUUCUUCGGAACAUCGGAGACAGGUGGUGCAUGGUUGUCGUCAGCUCGUGUCGUGAGAUGUUGGGUUAAGUCCCGCAACGAGCGCAACCCUUAUUGUUAGUUGCCAUCAUUAAGUUGGGCACUCUAGCGAGACUGCCGGUAAUAAACCGGAGGAAGGUGGGGAUGACGUCAAAUCAUCAUGCCCCUUAUGACCUGGGCUACACACGUGCUACAAUGGUUGGUACAACGAGUCGCAAGCCGGUGACGGCAAGCUAAUCUCUGAAAGCCAAUCUCAGUUCGGAUUGUAGGCUGCAAC
rnacentral:rRNA from 1 species